rnacentral:rRNA from 1 species
UACGUAGGGGGGCUAGCGUUGUCCGGAAUCAUUGGGCGUAAAGAGCGUGUAGGCGGUCCGGUAAGUCCGCUGUGAAAGUCGGGGGCUCAACCCUCGAAUGCCGGUGGAUACUGUCGGGCUAGAGUGCGGAAGAGGCGAGUGGAAUUCCUGGUGUAGCGGUGAAAUGCGCAGAUAUCAGGAGGAACACCAAUUGCGAAGGCAGCUCGCUGGGACGUAACUGACGCUGAGACGCGAAAGCGUGGGGAGCAAACAGG